GUGAGUGACAGCCGCGAGCUCAACAAGAGACAAAAGACAGUCAUUAGCACCUUAGAGGAGGCUUUGCCCAGCUCAUCUAGAACCGUGCUGAUCUGAAGAAGAGGAUCUGGCCUGGAGAACAAAAACAAGGUCAUUUUUACUUGAACUGAACUGAACUGGGAUGUUUUGGGAAACCAAAUUUCAGAGAAUGUGCCCAAGCUGCAGCAGUUUCCCGAUUUGGUGGGAGGAACAGACGCUGCCAGGUAGCUGAUGUCAACGUCUGACAACCAGUGGAUUGGAUGGAAGGAAGAGAUGUUGCCAGCUACUGGCUGAUCUCCAAUAAUUGACUACCAAUGGGUUGGAUUCCCGCUGGACGGUUAAUGGCGACACUUGAUAACUAGUGGGUUAUCAACUAAGGGUGUGAAGCCAAUACGGCCGUGGUCUCCAGCCCUUGAAGCUACAUAAGGUUGAAGUGAUAGCAGAGCGACUUGCCAAUGAUGGGUGAACUUCUUCUUUGAAAGCACAGAUCUGUCUCUCCGACAGAGGUUUAUGCCAUACCAGAAGAGUCACGGAGACCGUUGUCAAGCUUUGUAGUAUUGUGUAACUUGCACCCGUUCCAGUGUCAUUUGUAUAUCAUUCCCAGUUUGAGAGAGACUUUUCUUUUGCAUUUAAUAAAAAUCACUAUAACGGCUGAAUAAA